GAAGUAAAAGUCGUAACAAGGUUUCCGUAGGUGAACCUGCGGAAGGAUCAUUACCUUUCAAUGCAGCAGAAUUGGGAUGGUUGAGUUUCUCGCCUCUCCAUUCUGCCUGUAUUCUACCCUUGUUUGCCAUAUACUAUUAUUUCCUCGGCAGGCUUGCUUGCCGAGUGAAACCAAUUAUAACCUAUUUAAUUUUCAAUCAGCGUCUGAAAAAAAUUAAUAAUUACAACUUUCAACAACGGAUCUCUUGGUUCUGGCAUCGAUGAAGAACGCAGCGAAAUGCGAUAAGUAGUGUGAAUUGCAGAAUUCAGUGAAUCAUCGAAUCUUUGAACGCACAUUGCGCCCCUUGGUAUUCCAUGGGGCAUGCCUGUUCGAGCGUCAUUUGUACCUUCAAGCUUUGCUUGGUGUUGGGUGUUUGUCCUGAGGGACUCGCCUUAAAGUAAUUGGCAGCCAGUGUUUGGUUUUGAAGCGCAGCACAAGUCGCGAUUCAAGGCUAUACGCCAGCUUCCACAAGCCUUUUUCACUUUUGACCUCGGAUCAGGUAGGGAUACCCGCUGAACUUAAGCAUAUCAAUAAGCGGAGGAAUUUUUCUCCUGGCAUGG
rnacentral:rRNA from 1 species